AAAAGCGUUGCCUAAAACGUCAGUCACUUUCCUUCUUUACUAAUAAUCCGUUACCUAAACGACAAGCAGACUUUUUCUUUAUGUACCAUGUCUCUGAUGUUUUUUAAGGUUCUCCUCCGACAUGAUGCUUCAAUUGCUUUCAAUUUGCUUUCUCUAUUGCUCUGUCGACCUGCGCGCUGUCCAUAUAUGGGCCUGCCCGUUUGUAGAGAAAAUGCGUCAUUUCCGUUACAUCAUUUUAGAACGCCACCAAGUGAUCCAGCUCAGAGAGGGGUCUAGUUGUUGAUGAGGACUCUGCAUUGACUGCCUGGGAAAGGUCCUGAGGAGAACCCCUUUCCCUGACAGCCUGGUCAUUCUGGAAGUGGGAUCUCUUCAUCUGUGAUCCCUUCUCAAGGUUACUCCCCCCCCCCCCCCCCCAAAUGGGUUUCCUCAGAGUUUUUUCCUGCCCAGAUGGGGGGUCUCGAACAGCGCUCCUUAUGAGGGUUGCUGGCGACUUGGAACCUAUCCCAGGCUGACCUCGGCAAGAGGUGGAGUACAAUCUGAAUUGGUCACCAGCCAAUCACAGUUGUACAAUAUUAGUAUUUCUAUGGGGAAAAUGUUCAUGCUCCACUUGGCACUCAAUUGAACUU